UCAUGAACUUGGUUUAUGGUUUAUGAAGUUGGGUAUAUUGGAUAUGGUUCAUGAACUUGGAUAUGGUUCAUGGGUGAGAUUUAUGAACUUGGCUCAUGAAUCUUGGUUUAUGGACUUGAUUCAUGAUUCAUGAACUUGGUUUAUGGUUUAUGAAGUUGGGUAUAUGGGAUUUGGUUCAUGAACUUGGAUAUGGUUCAUGGACUUGGUUCAUGGUUCAUGAACUUGGUUUAUUUUGGUUCAUGGGCCUUGAUUCAUGAACUUGGGUUAUGAUCCGUGGUGUUUGGUUCACGAACUUGGGUAAGAUUCAUGCAUGUGGUUCGUGCUUCAGGAACUUGGUUUAUGAGUUUUGGUUCAUGAGACUUGAUUCAUGAACUUGGAUAUAGGAUUUGGGAUUUGGUUCACGAACUUAGGUAUGGUUUAGGUUCAUGAGCCUAAGUUGGAAGUUGGAUU
rnacentral:lncRNA from 1 species